CAAUAGAAACGUCUUAAAAACGAAUAUUUAAUUGGUCUUUAAUCUCUACCUUGAUAUUCAGUACCUUAUAAGCAAACACAACGAAUUAAAAACUCGUUUCAUUAAUUCCACCCUGAGGCCAAGCUCGCCCAAUAGAAAUGCAGAAAAGAGAACACGGUCAAGAAACAUUAGUUUCUCCUCCAUAUAGACGUAUCCCCUCUCCACAGCAGAGCUUUGCAAACUUUGCACGCCACAGUGUGGCUAUCGAUCAGACGCCGUCCAGAAAAUGAUGCAUUACGUAAAACUUCUCUCAACCUCUCCGCCUUGUAUCCCGCAAUAAGGCUUUUAAUUUGCAGCCCACAACCGUGUCAGUGAUCCAACGUCUUCGUCGACUAUUCCCAACAACGAGCGGACUCGGCUCGGUUCGCCUUAAGGCGGUAAUCACCAAGAAACGAGCAAAAAUUUAUCGCAGCCAGGUGUCGGCGGGGGACGACGCGAGAAACGACGCAGAAUAUCUAUUAUAUCCGUCUUCACGAGGAUCGUGCGGAAGAGAGAGACAGCGAUAGAUCGUUCCUCUCUACGAUAUCUAAAUUUAAGAAGUGGCACCACCACCGUUUCCUUCGAUACGAUUCGUGCACCACGACCGUUUGCUUCCUUCUAGAUCGUGGAAAACACGACAGCAGCUCGAAAGAAGAAGGCGACGAAGAGGAGGAGGAAAGGUGGGCGGUGGCGAUUAACGCUAAAGGCAGCAACAAUGACCAGAAUGAUCGAUUCGUGAUUUUUCGCAAUAAUUUGAUAGAUUUACCAUGUUGUAGCGUUAAGAUAGAAAUAGACGGAUAGACGAACAGAAGGAAGAUGGAUGGCGGGGCAACGAGAUGAAGAGGAGGGCAAAGAGAUGCGACGAAGAGGUAACGGUAUGCGAAAAAAUGUACUCUUGGCACUUGGCUUCGGCAGACGACGAGAUAAAUAGCGCGCGUGGGUGCGGCUCGCCGAUGUCUACGGGCCACACGCCACGUUUCCACCGGAACGCGUCAGCCACGAAGACCGAGAGAAUGAGAGGGAGCCGAGGAAAACACAGCCGGAGGUGGCCGUCGAACGGCCUGCACGUUUUCCACGGAAAAUAUCGCUUUUUCACCGUCUUUUGUCGCAUUCACCAGUCUCGCACAAUGCAUCCAAACGUGUGUAUCUAAACGGUUCCGUUGCUUGUGCAGUGCUUUAGAACAUGGUUUUUGUGAACACGGUUUGCAGUUACUUACGUGGAUCAUACGUUAAAACGACUACUAGACGUUGGUGCGGACUUUUAUCACGUUUGUGAGAAACUUCAAGAUGUAAAAAUCGACGGAAUAUGCAGGAAUAUAUAAUAUAUACAAAAUAGAUCACACCGCUUAUAAUUUUCAACAAUUUAAAACGAAUCUCUAUGGAAAUGUUAUCUCUUCGGUUGCAUUCAUAAGAAUAUUAACAGUCGAUGAAAAGAAGUCGAAAAAGAACUCGUCGUUGGGAAGAUUAAUGUUAAAGUUCGCUUAGACCGGACUGAAAUCAACGACCCAGCUUCCUGCACAUUUAAAUUCCAUCCUGUGUUAAAACGAACGCUGAAUAAGCAGAUAGUCGAGCGAUUCGAUUGACGAAAAUCGCGAAAACUAAGGUGCAGAGGGCGAGUCUCGUGCAACAGUUUCCUCGACACUGGAUUUUGACGCAAUGCGUCACAUGCUUACUGUCACCACUUGCCACUUGACUAUUCGUCGAAGAAAAAGUCGACCUAAAAAGCGCUGAAUGCACACCUAGCUUUCUGGCCCAUCCGCGCCUCUUUUUCCACUUCCCUUCGCUCUUUCAAUUAAUCUUCCUUAAUUUCCUCCGAUUUUUUUCACCGAUUUUUCUCCACGACGAAUGAAUGAAACGAGAGACGAAAAAAAUAAAAGGGAAGAGGAGAAACCGGAUAAAAAAAAGAAGGAAAAAACGUGAAGAGAGGGAGGCGCGUAACGAAUCACGAAACGGAGCAGCAGCAUUUUAAUAAUACACGUAUCUGCAUGCUCGAGUGGAGACGUUGCAGGCGCCAACAUGCCUGUGAAUAUUUCUCUUAUUUUCCCGGCGGACAGGCCGUGCUGUUUACUUUUCGUAUUUCGACCAGCCGGUCAGCGUGCUUCGAGCUUUUUGACAAUAACUACGAAGAUACUCCGUGUUUCGUAUCUAGCAAGCUAUUUCGUCUGCUCCAUUUAACGUUACACAUUCGUUCGUUGCAAUACUCGAAUACCAGAAUUUGUCAAAUUCUCCAUUAAAUUCUAGCAACGAGAUAAAAAUCCAUAUUCUUCUGUGUCAAAAUUAAUCCAAUACAAUUAUUCCUUUUAAGAUACGCAAGUAACUAAAAUUUCAAAAAAUCUUCACCGAAUUACGGAUACUAAAUUAUGCAACAUAAACGUCUAAUCACAAACUAUACAAAAUACAAAUGCGGUCUCUUCUCUGUUCCAUCCUUCGGAAGCAAAUUAUCAUAGAACAAGGAACCACAAAUUUUCCCAGGACUUACUAAGAAUCAAUCUGAACAAACAAUUGAAUCCCCACGGAAUCAGAGAGACAGUGGUUGAAAUAAUCUUA